GAUUAACGCUAGCGGCAGGCCUAAUACAUGCAAGUCGAGGGGCAGCAGGUGUAGCAAUACAUGCUGGCGACCGGCGCACGGGUGCGUAACACGUAUGUAAUCUUUCCUUAACUGGGGAAUAGCUUUGAGAAAUCAGAAUUAAUACCCCAUAGUAUUACGAGGUGGCAUCAUCUUGUAAUUAAAGCUCCGGCGGUUAAGGGUGAACAUGCGACCCAUUAGCUAGUUGGUGAGGUAACGGCUCACCAAGGCAACGAUGGGUAGGGGUUCUAA
rnacentral:rRNA from 1 species